rnacentral:snRNA from 1 species
CUUGCUUUUAAAAACUGUGGAAGAUAAAUGGAUUUUUAGAGCAGGGAGAUGGAAUAGGAGCUUGCUCUGUCCACUCCAGGCAUCGACCUGGUAUUGCAGUACUUCCAGGAACGGUGCACCCCCU